rnacentral:rRNA from 1 species
ACAACUUUCAACAACGGAUCUCUUGGCUCUCGCAUCGAUGAG